AACUCCCAAACCCAUGUGAACAUACCUAACGUUGCCUCGGCAGGUCUCGUCUACCUUGUAGCACCCUACCCUGUAAGGUCUACCUGGGAGAUGCGGAUAAGCCUGCCGGCGGCCCACUAAACUCUGUUUGAUAUUGAAUUCUGAAUAUAUAACUAAAUAAGUUAAAACUUUCAACAACGGAUCUCUUGGUUCUGGCAUCGAUGAAGAACGCAGCGAAAUGCGAUAAGUAAUGUGAAUUGCAGGAUUCAGUGAAUCAUCGAAUUUUUGAACGCAUAUUGCGCCCAUUAGUAUUCUAGUGGGAAGGACCGUUCGAGCGUCAUUUCGACCCUUAAGCCUUGGUUGCUUAGUGUUGGGAGCCUACGGUAACGUAGCUCCUCAAAGUUAGUGGCGGAGUUGGUUCACACUCUAGACGUAGUAAUUUCUUAUCUCGCCUAUCAGUUGGACUAAUCCCCUGCCGUAAAACCCCAACUUCUAAAGGUUGACCUCGAAUCGGUUCAGGUAAACUCGCUAAAUUGAAGCAUCUUAGUCAGCGAAGGAAAAGAAACCAACAGGGAUUGCCCUAGUAACGGCGAGUGAAGCGGCAACAGCUCAAAUUUGAAAUCUGGCCCUCGGGUCCGAGUUGUAAUUUGUAGAGGAUGCUUUUGGCGCGGUGCCUUCCGAGUUCCCUGGGACGGGACGCCUUAGAGGGUGAGAGCCCCGUACGGUUGGACACCAAGCCUCUGUAAAGCACCUUCGACGAGUCGAGUAGCUUGGGAAUGCUGCUCUAAAUGGGAGGUAAAUUUCUUCUAAAGCUAAAUAUUGGCCAGAGACCGAUAGCGCACAAGUAGAGUGAUCGAAAGAUGAAAAGCACUUUGAAAAGAGGGUUAAAUAGCACGUGAAAUUGUUGAAAGGGAAGCGUUUGCGACCAGACCUUUUCCUAGCGGAUCAUCCGGUGUUCUCACCGGUGCACUUCGCUAGGCUUAGGCCAGCAUCGGUUUCUGUAGGGGGAUAAAAGCUCGGGGAACGUAGCUCCUCCGGGAGUGUUAUAGCCCUUUGCAUAAUACCUUUACGGGGACCGAGGACCGCGCUC
rnacentral:rRNA from 1 species